GAUGAACGCUGGCGGCGUGCCUAAUACAUGCAAGUCGAGCGAACAGACGAGGAGCUUGCUCCUCUGACGUUAGCGGCGGACGGGUGAGUAACACGUGGAUAACCUACCUAUAAGACUGGGAUAACUUCGGGAAACCGGAGCUAAUACCGGAUAAUAUAUUGAACCGCAUGGUUCAAUAGUGAAAGACGGUUUUGCUGGCACUUAUAGAUGGAUCCGCGCCGCAUUAGCUAGUUGGUAAGGUAACGGCUUACCAAGGCGACGAUGCGUAGCCGAUCUGAGAGGGUGGUCGGCCACACUGGAACUGAGACACGGUCCAGACUACUACGGGAGGCAGCAGUAGGCAAUCUUCCGCAGUGGGCGAAAGCCUUACGGAGCAACGCCGCGUGAGUGAUGAAGGUCUUCGGAUCGUAAAACUCUGUUAUUAGGGGAGAACAAAUGUGUAAGUAACUAUGCACGUCUUGACGGUACCUAAUCAGAAAGCCACGGCUAACUACGUG
rnacentral:rRNA from 1 species